rnacentral:rRNA from 1 species
CCUACGGGUGGCAGCAGUGGGGGAUAUUGCACAAUGGGGGGAACCCUGAUGCAGCGACGCCGCGUGGGUGAAGGAGCGUUUCGGCUCGUAAAGCCCUAUCGGCAGGGAAGAAGAAGGACGGUACCUGACGAAGAAGCCCCGGCUAACUCCGAGCCAGCAGCCGCGGCAAUACGUAGGGGGCAAGCGUUAUCCGGAUUUACUGGGUGUAAAGGGGGCGCAGACGGCAGCGCAAGCCAGGAGUGAAAGCCCCGGGCCCAACCGCGGGACGGCACUUGGAACUGCGCGGCUGGAGUGCAGGAGGGGCAGGCGGAAUUCCAGGUGUAGCGGUGAAAUGCGUAGAUAUCAGGAGGAACACCGGUGGCGAAGGCGGCCCGCUGGACUGCGACUGACGUUGAGGCCCGAAAGCGUGGGGAGCAAACAGGAUUAGAUACCCUAGUAGUC